UAGAUUUCUUUUUCACUUUAGGUAGACCUUACAUAUGAUGAUUUUCUUGUAUCUAUGCCUACAUGUUGUUUGCUGAUGAUAUAUCUGACUACUGCUACGCUAUAUACUUAUCUCUCUUUCGUCUAUCUGGCUGUUGGUUGUUUUGGAGCCGGGGGUCUCUCAGGAAGCAGCCUCUCUAUUCUUAGGAUAGAGGCAAGCUUCUGAAUUCAUCUGUGGAACUAAUCUCACACCAACCUUCGCCGCUUGCUAACUUAGAGAGUUUGAGGCUUCUUCCAAAAAGUUAUGAUUUGUGGCAAACAAGAUUUUUUGUGUCUAUUGAAGUAAAAAGCUAUUUGCUAAGUAGGUCUCCAAAAGCCACCUUGACUGAGGUGCCGCGAGAGGAAAGGAAUGCUGUGAUUUAGCUGCAGGUGGUCAUCCAAAAUCUUUAGCAAAUUGUAAGUUAUUGAUUUCCCUUCUCAUAUACAUAACAUAAGUGAUGACUAGAAUCAACUGUUGGUGCCAUAAUCUUUUUUAUUUUUGAUUCAGGUCCUGAUUCCCUAGAAGAGUUUAUACCCUAAACCUACCGAUUAUGAAAAUCGGAUGACUAAAACAUCAGUUAUAGGUUCAUUUUGGUCUCGUAACCAAAACAAACCAUGUUCACCCCUACAUGUCUCAUAUAUGUGCAC